GGUGCCAUUAGUGUGAUAGG
rnacentral:miRNA from 1 species